AGUAUCAUAGCUUGAUAUCAUAGUGACCUCAUUUAUUGUCAAGCAACACUCCAGCCAAGUACUAGAACACACAUGAGGAAAUGCUGAAGUCCACAAGGGUAAUAAACGGCACAAACUAUAUUAACACAGUAUAUUACAAUACAAACAGGACCAAACGGAGCUUGUAGAAUCUCAACUCAUAACCAGAACAAAAACGGGAACUAAACAUUGAACAUCUUGUUUGAGCCUGUAUGCAGAUCAUACACAAAUCAGAAUUUUAGAUGGGUCUUCUGAAACAACAAUCUUCAAGCUGCAGUACCUUGCAGUUCUUGCCUCGACACAAACCACCCUGAACCCGCAUGGGCAUGGUAGACUUGGCAAGCAACAAAAUAGCAUGGAGAGUAUGAAAAAUGAUAUUUGAUCCAGGCUAGGAUCUCCAGAUAAGCAGCAACCAGCAUGGAGAAUAUGCCAUUGAUAUUUGAUCCAGGCUAUAAUCACAUGAGAUCGAUCUCUUUUGUCUUCAACAUCUUCAGAAUCCAUCUUGUUCCUUCUUUUCACAGCCAAGGCUUAAAUUUUGCACAAUGAUGUGGCUGAAUCG
rnacentral:lncRNA from 1 species